UACGUAGGGUGCAAGCGUUAAUCGGAAUUACUGGGCGUAAAGCGUGCGCAGGCGGUUCGUUGUGUCGGUGGUGAAAUCCCCAGGCUUAACCUGGGAAGUGCGCGGAAAACUGGCGAGCUUGAGUGCCGGAGAGGGUCGCGGAAUUCCCGGUGUAGAGGUGAAAUUCGUAGAUAUCGGGAGGAACACCAGUGGCGAAGGCGGCGACCUGGACGGACACUGACGCUGAGACGCGAAAGCGUGGGGAGCAAACAGG
rnacentral:rRNA from 1 species